GUGUCUGGAUCACAGUUCAUCUUGUUCUGAUCCUGUGCACCUUAUGUAGUCCCAAAGCCUUCACGGGCGGCGGUUGACUACGCCUACCUCACACCUUUAAAGUAGGUUAACAAAGGUAAUCUGGGCCUUGACAAACCCUAAAAAGUUAAUCCAACUUUCAACAACGGAUCUCUGGGUUCUCGCUUCGUUAAAAAACGCGCCGAAUGGCAAUAAGUAAGGGGAAUUGCAAAAUUCGGGGAAUCAUCGAAUCUUUAAACGCACCUGGGGCCCUUGGGUUUUCCAAGGGGCUGGCUUGUUUGAUUGUCUUUAAUUACCUUCAACCCUUUUUUGAUUUCGGUCUCAAAAGGGGUUGGAAAGUGAAGGUCUGCUGAAGCCUAACGAACCCGGUUCCUCUUAAAGGUUUUACCGAAUUUCCCUUGCGGGAUCCCGCCUCCAAUGUGAUAAUUUCUACUUCGUUAACCUUCUCGGGGUUAACCUAUUCGGUUUCAAUAGAAGUCUGCUUCUAACCGUCUCUUGACGGAAACUAGCAACUUGGGCCCUAACUUUUGACUUGCCCUCAAAUCAGGUAGGACUCCCCGCUAAACUAAACCAUAUCAUAAGCCGAAGAAAGAU
rnacentral:rRNA from 1 species